UACGAAGGGGGCUAGCGUUGCUCGGAAUUACUGGGCGUAAAGCGCGUGUAGGCGGUUGUCCAAGUUGGAUGUGAAAGCCUUGAGCUCAACUCAAGAAAUGCAUUCAGGACUGGAUGACUAGAGGACCGGAGAGGAUAGUGGAAUUCCCAGUGUAGUGGUGAAAUACGUAGAGAUUGGGAAGAACACCAGUGGCGAAGGCGGCUAUCUGGACGGUUUCUGAUGCUAAGACGCGAAAGCGUGGGGAGCAAACAGG
rnacentral:rRNA from 1 species